CAUUCUGCUUACUUAGAUUGCCACUCUACUUUACUUGCCUGAUCGAGCUAGUGGUCUGGAGAAGGCUCCAUUGCCUUAGGUAAUGGACUGGUCUGUGAAAUGCGCAGUGACCUGAAUUCUCUGUUCAGCCCUUGAGAGGCGGACAAAGCUGGGCAGAGAUGAACCUCCGAGCCUGACAAGCAAAAGCACCAGCCUUGAUGGGAAUAACCAGAAGUCCGUGUGAAGUUGUCUGAAGAAGGCAGGAGGAGAAAUGCUACAGCCCUGGGGUUCUCAGAUUUUUCUCCAAAGCCUCUGGAUUCACUUUCAUAGAAAACAGCAUAAGCUUUGUCCAGCAGGCUUCAUGACAGGCUUCAUGGUGUGGUGGUAACAAAGUAAUUCGAGUGGAAGUUCUCCCUGGUACCCUGCUUGAGUAAAAAGAAGAUUAACAGUCCUUAAGGACACUCUUUCCAGAAGAUUCUCCCUUAAGGUGACCAACCUGAGAGCCAAGGACAAGGACGCGUAUUACUGUGAGCAAGGCAGGGUCAAAGGGUGUGAGCCCAGACACAAACCUCCAUGUAGGGAGGGGCGAGGAAAUUGCAUUGUAAAUGCUGCUCAGAACCACCAGGGGGUGCUCAGGGCACCAUGGGGCACUCAAGACACUAGGGGGCAUUUAGAACCCCCCGGAGGCACUUAGAAUUACCAACGGGCACUGAGGACACCAUGGGAGCUCAGGACACCAGGGGGCACUCAGGACAUGACAAGGUGCCCAGGACAACAUGGAGGGCUAAGAACCACCAGGGGGUGCUCAGAACCACCAGGAGGCACACAGGAAACCAGGGGGUUCUCAGAAUUCAGGGGGUGCUCAGGAAACCUGAGGGUGCUCAGAACACCAAGGGCGCUCAGAAUAGAAAGUGUGCUCAGAUCACCAAGGGGGAGCUCAAGACACCAGGGACCACUGAGGACAUCAGGGUGUGCUCAAGACACGGGGGG